GUUUGGUUGCAAACAAGGACCAUGCCAUCAUGGGAGCCAUACAUCUGGAUCGCAAUGCUUAUAGCUCUGGUCUUCAUCACAGGAACAACUAGCUGCAUAAUAUACUGUGUGUGCCAAAACCACUUCAUAAGAGCUCAGUGCCAGCACAUUUGAGGGCUUUCAAUAGAACAACAAGAUUACAAUAUCAUACCAAUCACCAACGGAUGCAUAUAGCUUGAUAUUCAGAGAGAAGGUUCUCCAAAAGAAGUCAAAGCACGAGGAACGAAAAGCAGCUUUAGAAUCUAUCUACAUUUAUAUGGAUCCUGUUGCAGCGUAUGAUGAUGAUGCAAUGCCUGAAACAGUGUAUGAAAUUAACUGAAAAAGCUACUUGCUACUUUGAAGCAAAAAUAAAGAUAGCUUAUUUUUAAAGACACCACAACCAGCUGGUCACUGUCAAGUUGAAGCAUCCUGUCCCCUAUAGCCCAUAGAGCUAGCUUUAGCAUUUAUUUUAUUUAGUAGUAACACAAGGAACCUACUGGCCCAUAUCCUGUAAGACAUUGGCUUCAGCAGUUAGCAUAAAGGCUUGAGGCCUAUGGCUUUGGCAAAGAAAUGGCCUAACCAACAGCCCUAAGUUUUGGGGAACUGGGAAUAGAGCGUUUAAGGGAGAAGUUCGUCCAUAACGACACCAACCAAGCCCAGAAACAUGAGCUAACACCAGCUUUUGGAUAUUUAGGAUAGAACAUCUGCAGAUGUCUGACCACAAAAGUGCCGUGACAACAAACUGAUGUAUAUGAUAUAAAUUGAGAUUAUUCCUAUACUAACCUAUAGGAGAAGGGCACCUCAACAUUAGGGGGAGAAAAUACAAAUAAGGAAGAGGGAGAAACCCUACUGAAUAUGGCAUUAGACAUAGUGGCAUCAGCCUAACAUAUUGCAAAAAUUGUAUCCCAGCCUAGGUGUGGGACGAGAGAGUGAGGUAGCCAUUGGGAGGUGCCAGGAUGAUGGCCACUGGUGAUGAGGAAGAUCAUGGCUAACAUUUCAGGUUGUUCUGCAAGGGAUGGUGUGAGU